rnacentral:rRNA from 1 species
AUGUUAGAACAAAACCUGAAUAUUCUGAGUAGGAAUGUCCGAGGCUUGAAUUGUCCUGACCGUCAUGCUGCCAUUCACGAGACCAUCGCCGCUACUCCGUGCCACCUUGUCUGUUUACAAGAGACCAAGCUCGAGCUCGUUGAACUUCUCAUCGCUGCAUUUCUCGGAGGAUACAGACUAAAGAGCUUUGCUCAGCGCCCCGCCCUGGGCACCCGUGGCGGCAUCCUUCUUCUCUGGGAUGAGAAUUUUGUCUCUGUCCAUGAUGUUAGCAUCGGAGCCUUUUUCCUUUCGACCACGGUCACCAUCACCUCUUCGAGCGCAUCCUCCAAGCUAACAACCGUUUAUGGCCCGACACGAAGCAAUCUUAAAGAUGGUUUCUUUCAAGAAUUAGUUGGUGAGAAACCACCCAAUGGUGAUAAGUGGUUGGUCAAUGGUGAUUUCAACCAAAUAUACCGAGCUAGAGACAAGAACCGUGCGAAUGUUGAUCGGAGCCGCAUCGUUCAUUUUCGCAACACCCUCAAUGCGUGUGAGUUAAAAGAGAUAGACCUUCAAAACUGGAAAUUUACUUGGAGUAACGAGCGAAGUGACCUGAUUCUACUACACAACCUUCUUCUUGUAGACGUUGUUGGGCCUGCAAGUGCACAGGUUUGUAGGACAGUAGGAAAUUUCCCUCAAGUGGAUGACCUAAGGUUUAUCAAUCCGUGGGAGGCGUAG